CCAUCGGGCCUUUUAUUAACUAAAAAUAUUUACAGAAAAAGGAAAUAGCCCAAGAACCCUAUUUAGGUCCUUGAUCCAACAAACUACAAAGACAAAAAUUUAAUUUCUAUAAAGAAAAACCAAAAUAUGUCCAAAAACAAAAAGAAUAAAAAAGGGAAAGUGGAAUUUGGAUCGCCAUCUUCUUCUUCACUGUGAUCGAUCCAAAGCUGAAAUUAUUGACAUAAGAAGUGUACUUGUUGUUAAUAAAGCUCAAAUCGGAAAUUGCAUGAUGAACUUUGGGAAUUUUCAUUUAAGGUGUUAAAAAAUCUCACUAAAACCAUGAAAUUGUCCUAAAUGAAGACUUCUUCAGUUCAAACUAGCUUCCAAAUCACGCUUUUUACAACCAGAUAAGUGUUCUUAUUUCUACCUCUUAUCUAUUUAAUAAUUAAGAUCAAGUUCUCAUUGAUUUUACCCCCCGACAUAUUGAGCCUUACUAGAAGCUGAUACCACUGCCUAAGAAGAUAUGUUUAGAUGUCCUUUGAACUUAAUUUUGAUGAACAAACUUGAGCUCCCUCAACCUUGUUGAGGGAACAUGGAAGUCUCCCACGUGGUUUAAUAUGGUAUAUGUAAGGGCAUUUGAAAGUCCCCUUUACUUGCAAGUAAGAGGUGGUAUGACGAUACCACUAAUAUUGGCCUUGGUUAAAUAAAAUGGUAAAUGGAUUGGCUGGUCAUUUUGAAAUGGUUUUAAUUGGGCAUUAAUGGCGGGAUGUGUAGUGAAGUCAUGAAAGGUGGUGGUCCCGGGGGGACCAAAAAUGGAAACUCGUAUUUGCCGAUAUGAGGAUUGGUUUUAGUAGACUGUGUGCAUGAUAUCACACUAUUGGGAAUGUACUAGUAUACCAUGGGAUACUUUCUUGGUCAUGCAGCUACACGCACUGGUGCCCUUUCAGCAAGGGAAGGGAAGAUGAACCCAUAUAGCCCGUAGGUGGUUUAGAAUGGCCAAGCUACACAGUCGAGGGAAAGGUUUUAAAUGCAUAUUAAACCCGAAUUCCUUUUCCUGGUAUAUAUAUAUAUAUAUGUAUAGUUGUGUGAAUUUGAUGGUUUUACUUGAUUUUAUUAAUGACGUUAUUUAUUCCUUAUCCUGAGAUUCAUGCUAGCGAUCACUCGCUAACCCGUCUACUGGCGGAUGUAUACCCAUACUUACAGGAAUCGGUCGUUUGACUCCUCCUACAUAGUAAUUGACUCGGGGAUAGCAUUUAGUCUGAAGUGGUGUGCUUCCAUCCUUUCAGAAGGCAUCAUUUCAUGUUAUGGAUAUUGUUAAACGUUUUGACUUUAUUUUGGAUAUUGGUUUUGUCCAUGGUUGGGGGCAUGUCCCAAUGAAAUUUAUUUAUUCUUUUGGAUAGAGGCUUUGUGGUACUUUGGGGGGCUAGGAUUGGGCGGGAUCGGUAUUGGUGUCGGCCUUGGCAUUGGAAUAAGCUGGGAGGCUGGCAUCAUCGGACAAUAUUUCUCACUAUUCUAUAGUAUUACAUUUUGGUAUUGAUUAUUAUAGUAUGUUUUGGUAUUC